CCUCUGCACAGCGCACCCUCUAAGCUCCUCUCCCAUUCUCUCUCUCCUGCUUGAUUUUUGUGGCAUAGCAGACUCAAUUCAUAUACAGAGGAACAGAGCUCUUGAAGCUGAGAGAGAUGCAUCCUUCAACCAACAGUGGACUGAAGUCUCUGGACACUGAAUACAGGUGGGAUCUAUUCACCUAACAGAUAUUUCAGCUUGGAAGACAAGGGAAACCAGACCAUUGUGCUUCUAUAGAAGGUCAUGACAGAGAAAGUCAGCCAUGACUCGAAAGAAGAUUGAUUCUUCCACCAACAUGCUGUCUGAGCAAAUACCAACUGAGUUCAUCCAUGAGAAUUCCUCCAAGUUACCAACAC